rnacentral:rRNA from 1 species
GAUGAACGCUGGCGGCGUGCCUAAUACAUGCAAGUCGAGCGGACGGACGAGAAGCUUGCUGCUCUGAUGUUAGCGGCGGACGUGAGAGUAACACGUGGAUAACCUACCUAUCAGACUGGGAUAACUUCGGGAAACCGGAGCUAAUACCGUAUAAUAUUUUGAACCGCAUGGUUCAAAAGUGAAAUACGGUCUUGCUGUCACUUAUAGAUGGAUCCGCGCUGCAUUAGAUAGUUGGUAGGUUAACGGCUUACUAAGGCAAGGAUGCAUAGACGACGGGGGAGGGUGAUAGGCGACCUUGGAAGGGGGACAGGGACAUGAGGACUGAGAUAGGGAGCAGAAGGGAAUGGGACGCAAUGGUGGAAAGCCUGACGGAGUAACGGCGAGUGAGUGAUGGAGGUCUUCGGAUCGUAAAACUCUGUUAUUAGGGAAGAACAGAUGUGUAAGGAGCCGUGCAGAGAGUGACGGUACCUAAUAAGAAAGCCACGGCUAACUACGUG